CAACCACAUCAUGUUGAAACACUGGUUCUCAUAUGAUCACAUGAAGUUAAGCAAUGUCACACCUGGUCAGUACUUAGAUGGGUGACCACUUGGGAUGACUAGAUGCUGCCAG